AAGGUGUUUUCGAAUUUUCUUAUUUUUUAUUUGACAGUUGUCAUUUUGAUUAAUUAUUUAUCUAAGCCAUGGGCGGGAAAGAGAAUUAAGAUCAUUAGGGAUAUUAAAUCUGGGAUAAGCGUUAAACGACAAAGUAUUCCCCAAUUCUUUUUGGACCAAAAGAAAUCGAUGCAAUAGAUUAAACGUGAUUUUUUCACUACUAUUGUUAUUCUCACUCCGAAAGUCCUUUGGUUGUUGGAAUAUAAGAUUUGGCGCGCAAACUCAGGCGAUUGCUCAACAUUGUCUUUUGUUUUGAGUCAAAUCGUCAUCGCCAUCAUCAUCUUGGGCUCCUUUUCUUUGUUCGCCUACAACUGCCGUUGGGCAACAGGACCUUUUGCUGGCUUUGAAAAGAAAAUUGUCUUAAGUGUGCGUACCUUUUCAAAAAGGUCUGCAGACAUCAUCCCACACGCAUGCACUAACACACGCACACACACCAGCUCUGGUCGAAUAUUAAACUACUUUAGAGGAAAUGUAUGGAUGUAGAGUAUCCUUGACUCGUGCUGAUAUAGACAGAUGUCCUCAGUGGCGUCUGUGUGCAAGACUUGGUGUGCCUUUAACGUAAAUUCGAUUUUUUGCAUCUCCCCGCUUUCGGCACUUCACAGCAAAGAAAACAUUACCAAGAGUCGGGGAGUUUUUGGCGCAAAAUGAAUUUCUGAAGUGAAUGCUUUUUGAGUUUUGCCUUAAGGACUUUUUAAAUAAUGUCUACCACAUUCAUAUGCAAGCAGUAAGAAUCCUUUGACUCAAGGGGAAUUUUGGUUUAAUAAAGGAAGAAGCCUUUCGUAAUUAUAUGUGACACAAUCGGCCACAACAAUGCCCAAAAUAUGAGAUUGAAGUAAAGUGAAGGCAGCUGCUAUCCCACAUCCACAAGAAAAGGACAAGUCGAUUCAAAAAUUAUUUUUGAAAAAUACGUUUUCAAUUCUUUUGUCGUUAAUAAAUUAGAGAGAGGUUUUAAAAUGUAUAUCCAAAAGAUAGAUAGUUGCGGAAAAGAUGUUAUUGGCAAGGGAUUUGUUGUGUGCUUCCCCAGAAUGAAAGGCACCUGUUCAUUUAAAUUUAUUCACUACAAAAUUAUAGGUUUCCACAGCGGCUCUACCGUCCUGGUUCUAUCAAAUGGUUUAAUCGCCGUGAAACUUCUGUUUUGUACAAUUUUGUGGCACCCAAUUGAAAUGCGCGCAGGACAUUCUUCAUUUGCAUAUUUUUCUUUGGCAACCGACAACAAAAUAACUUUCGUCUGGCAUAUCCUACAAAUUGUGGGUGAAACGUCGUGGCUUUGGCAACGGUAAGGACUACGAACACAUGUGCUUAAUGUCUAUAAAAAUGUAGAGGGAAUG